AUGAACCAGUUACAGCAAUUGAUGGAUGCCUUGGCGUCAUCAGGCGACGAAGGACGCAGCAAGCUGCGAUAAGCUUCGGGGAGCGGCACGCACGCUUUGAUCCGAAGAUUUCCGAAUGGGGAAACCCGGCACCGGUCAUUCGGUGUCGCGCCGGUCUGAAUUCAUAGGAUCGGUCGCGCAAUACGCGGAGAAGUGAAACAUCUCAGUAUCCGCAGGAACAGAACGAGAAUCGAUUCCGUAAGUAGUGGCGAGCGAACGCGGAACAGCCCAAACCGUCGGGAUUUAUCCUGACGGGGUUGUAGGACCACGACAUGGAAUGACGAGAGCUAUACGAACAUUCUGGAAAGAAUGGCCAUAGCGGGUGAUAGCCCCGUAGUUUAAAGCUCGAGUCUACCUAGUGGUAUCCUGAGUAGCACCGGACACGUGAAACCCGGUGUGAAUCCAUGCCGACCACGGCAUAAGGCUAAAUACUCGAUGACGACCGACAGUGAACUAGUACCGCGAGGGAAAGGUGAAAAGCACCCCUGUUAGGGGAGUGAAAUAGUAACUGAAAUCAAUUGCUAACAAGUCAGUGGGAGCUCCCUUGUGGAGUGACCGCCUGCCUUUUGUAUAAUGAGUCUGCGAGUUAUUGCCCGUAGCAAGCUUAAGCCGGUUCCCGGCGAAAGCGCAGCGAAAGCGAGUCCAAAUAGGGCGCCUAGUUGCUGGCAAUAGACCCGAAGCGGAGGUGAUCUAACCAUGGUCAGGAUGAAACUCCGGUAAAACGGAGUGAAGGUCCGAACUCGUCAGUCUUGAGAAACUGUGAGAUGAGCUGUGGUUAGGAGCGAAAGACUAAUCAAACCCGGUGAUAGCUGGUUCUUUCCGAAAUAUAUUUGGGUAUAGCGUCGGAUGCUGACCCGUGGAGGUAGAGCACUAAAUAAGCUAGGGCCCCUACCGGGGUACUGAACUUAAUUAAACUCCGAAUACCACGGGGCGAAGUCCGGCAGUCAGACUGUGGGGGAUAACCUUCAUAGUCGAAUGGAGAAUAAUCCACACCAUCGGUUAAGGUCCCAAAAUAUGGCUCAGUGUAAAAGGAUGUGAUUUUGCUUAGACAAUGGGGAUGUUGGCUUAGAGGCAGCCAUCAUUUAAACAGUGCGUAACAGCUGACCCAUCGAGCGAAAUUGCGCCGAAAAUGAUCGGGACUUAAGCCAUAUACCGAAGCUAUGGGUGCACCGCAAGGUGUGCAGUAGGAAAGCGUCCCAAGUGCAGCGAAGUGGAAGGGGUAACCGACCAUGGAGCGCUUGGGAGUGAGAAUGCAGACAUAAGUAACGAUAAAGCCGGUUGAAUUCCGGCUCGCCUAAAUCCCAAGGAUUCCUGGGGAAGGUUCGUCCUCCCAGGGUUAGUCGGGUGCUAAGACGAGGCCGUAAGGAAUAGUCGAUGCCAAUCUGGUUUAAUAUUCCAGAACCACUUCACUUGCGUUCGAUCCAUGGAGUGACGGAGAAAGCUAAGAUAGCAACGUGUUGAAUCGUUGUCGAAGCCCGUAGGUUCACCGGGAGUAAAACACCGGGUAAGACUGAAAGGCGACAGGACCCUGAAGCCACGGCUGAUGGGGAUUAUCUGAUGCUCUGCUUCCGAGAAAAGCUUCCUGGUUAGCAAGUGGGGUGCCCGUACCGUAAACCGACACAGGUGGGAAAGAUGAGUAUUCUAAGGCGCGCGAGUUAAAUCUCUCUAAGGAACUCGGCAAAUUAGCCCCGUAUCUUCGGUAGAAGGGGUGCCCCGCAAGGGGCCGCAGUUAAUUGCGUCAACCGACUGUUUAGCAAAAACACAGCUCUCUGCUAAGUCGCAAGACGACGUAUAGGGAGUGACACGUGACCAAUGCGGAAAGGUGAAAGCCUAGGGUGCAAGCUCUGGGUCUAAGCCCCCGUGAAUGUCGGCCGUAACUAUAACGGUCCUAAGGUAGCGAAAUUCCUUGUCGGGUAAGUUCCGACCCGCACGAAUCGUGUAACGAGUUGACGACUGUCUCGGAGAGAUGCUCGGUGAAAUUGUAGUGGCGGUGAAGAUGCCGCCUACCCGCAGCAGGACGGAAAGACCCUAUGCACCUUUACUGUAAGCUGUUAUUGUCGCUUGAUUUUCAAUACGUAGAAUAGGUGGGAGACUCCGAAGCCCGGUUUCAGGAUCGGGCCGAGUCACAACGUGAAAUACCACUUUUUAAUUGUUAGGCGUCUAACCUCAUACCAUUAUCUGGUUGUGGGACAGUGAUAGCAGGUCAGUUUUUCUGGGGCGGAAUCCUCCCAAAAAGUAA
rnacentral:rRNA from 1 species